AAGGAAUGCUAAUACCGCAUACGUCCUACGGGAGAAAGCAGGGGAUCUUCGGACCUUGCGCUAAUAGAUGAGCCUAAGUCGGAUUAGCUAGUUGGUGGGGUAAAGGCCUACCAAGGCGACGAUCUGUAGCGGGUCUGAGAGGAUGAUCCGCCACACUGGGACUGAGACACGGCCCAGACUCCUACGGGAGGCAGCAGUGGGGAAUAUUGGACAAUGGGGGGAACCCUGAUCCAGCCAUGCCGCGUGUGUGAAGAAGGCCUUAUGGUUGUAAAGCACUUUAAGCGAGGAGGAGGCUACUGAGA
rnacentral:rRNA from 1 species